rnacentral:pre_miRNA from 9 species
UCUUGAUAGCGUGAAACUUAACUCAAAUUUGUAUGGAGUUGGAACGUUUGCUUAUGUUUGCCGCUAGGGGCGCUGUUCCAACUACAUACAAUAGUUAACUUUUACGCUAUCGA